UCUCAUUCCCUCUUCUGACUUUUGCUUCAGCUGUUAUUCAAUUGCACAGAUGAAAGAAACAACUCAGGAAGGAGCUAAUUAGAGGAAGACAAUGCAGCAGAUGAACUGAGGUGGAACUGGGGAAGGAGGUGGUGGAUGGUAGAGAGGGAAUGGAAAUCCUGAGAGGAGCAGCAAAUACAUGGAGCCAGUCAAAAGGGACCAUUAAAAAAAAAAAAUUAACUGUCAGGGGCAUCUCCCAGAACUGCUAAAAACUGAAGGAACAGUGGGAGUUGCCACGCAUCUCCUGGUUGUGCCAGCCUUUCUAGCCCUGGGAGUUCCAGGAGAAACUGCUGGUCCCCUUUGGGCCUGAGUUUCCCCUUUUUGUAAAAAUCCAGGUUCAUUCCUGGAUGUAUUCAGGAACGUCAGUGAAGGACUCAGAAACAUCUUGAGAUGUGCAGACCAAAGGGACUUCAGAAGAGCACAUCAGGCAGAAGAACACUUCAGCAGAACAAAUCUCCUUGGAAGGUUGCUGUUUGGAGCCUCGGGAAAGUGUGCAGGAGAACAGGCAGCUGGGACAAGGAUGAGGAGCCCAGGAGAUCCUUUAGGAGACUUUUUGGCCAAACCACAGAGCAUGGAACUCCAGUGACUGAAUCCAGCGCUUACUUGGCUCUCUGGCAUGUCUAGAAAUCCAAAUCUAGAAUUCCCAGCUGGGGACAAGCAGGUACUGGCCUGUCACUCCAGCUCCUUCCCCUCAGUGGCACCAUCUCCUGUGUCCCAUACUUCUCUUUAUUACCAAAAUCCCCCAAAGACACCAUUGAUGAUGGAAAACCGUCAGAGAGGCAAUUAGAAAGAAGUUAAAGUGAAUUACAUAUGCAGGGUUUAUUUUCUGUUUUCUGCUAAGGCUGCUGCCAAUUAUUGUGCAAUUAGGCUGCCUUCAUUAGCAAAUGAGAUUAAAAUUAACAUCAUUAAUUACUUGUUCUGUUAAACAGGGGGAAGCAGGCAUUUAAGGGGAAGAUACAGGAAGGUUGUGCUUGGAGCAGAUGGAGCAAUGUUCUCCAGCACCGUUCCUUCAAGGGCUGCUCUGGGUUGUUCACUGUGGGCUAAUACAGAGAUUAAAUUCACAGCACUCCUGCAAAGCCUUGCAGGAACACAGCACAGCCCAUGCCUGCCAAUCUUCAGUCAGUUCUCCUUGCUCUGGACUCUCUUCCAAUGCUUUGUAACUUCCUGGGUGAGUAGCGCCCAAAACUGCAUCCAGCACUCAGCUGAGCUCUCCACAGCACUGGGAAAAGCAGGAAUUCUAUUUUAUAUGUUCUGCUGGGGCUACUUCUGUCUACACUCUCCUGUUUGUCAUUUUUCACAGCAUAUCUCAUCCACUCCUUGAUCAGAAAAAGAGCCCCAGACUUUCCUGCAGGAUUGCCUUUCUGCAUCCUGCAUGAGAACAGUUCAUCAUGCCUGCCUAGAUGGAAAGUCCUGUACUUAUCUCUAUUAAAUUGCAUCUAAUUUCUUCCAAACCAUUUCUCCAAUUUGUCAAAAUCAUUUUGAAAGAAAUAGACAGAUUGGAAAGGUCCCUUGGAAACAUGGAGUGCAGUGAGACAGCCCUGAGUUUCAUCCUGAGCCUUGCCAGGCUGCUGUUUCCCUCUGAUCUGUGUCUCUCUCACCUUGCUCUGCAACACCUGAAAGAAAAAUGUGCCCCCUGUGAGGGACAUUGUCACAAGCUGAGCCUCUUCAAAGCAUGCAGAUGUGCAGAUAAUGCCCAAACCUUCAGGAAAGGCACUGCUGUGGCUGCAGAACCCCUGCUCGCUCAGGCUGCUCUCAGUCCAUGCUGGAGUCUUGCAGGGCACUGCAACAUCACUCCCCAGCUCUAAGCAAACCCAAAGACUCCAAAAGUGGAUCAAAGCCUUAGGAAAUGGACUCAGCUGCACUCCUGACCGUCUGCAGGGGUUACCUGGCAGCCUGUGUGCUGCUCCUCGUGCUAAUGGACUCCCUUUUCUUUGUAGCCCAGGUAGCAGCUGGGGCUGAGAGCCUCUCUAGGUAAGGCUUAGACAAAGCAGGGGGAGUUUUUAUUAGAUCUGCUUUGGAGCACACAAACCUUUGCAUUGAGAGCAAGAGCAUCAGGCUGCAAGUGAAUGAAAGCUGAGGUCAUUUAUUGUCUGUCCCCUUUGCUCGCAGGUUCCUCUGCUCUAAAAAUACCAGCUGCCCUUUUGGACAGGUCAGAACUUCCACAAAAAGGAGCAGCCUGGCUGGAACAGACUGCGCUGAUCCUGAGGGAGCACGUGGGGCUCAGCCUCUUCCCCGUUGUGUUUGGAUCUCUGGUUGAUCUCACAGGAGCCAUUUCCCCUCUCUCUGAGCUUCCCACCUGCACACAAGGUGCAGCAGUUGUGAGCAGCAGCACUGGCAGCAGUGCCAGCAGCACCAGUGACAGCACAGCCCAAGUUCAGCAUAUUCGGGCUGUGCCCCUUGCUGGAUGCAUCUGAAUGCACCCCAUUUUUUGCUCUCCUGACACCCCUGUGAAGCUGGGAGGAGAAAUCUUUCAUCUCUCCAGCUGGAAGCCUCAGUCAGAAAGAGAUUUAACAGUGUACCCAUGGUUAGUCAUGAGCAGGAGGCCGCUUGGGGAACUAAUACUAUUUCUUACUCAGGGGAGAUUUUCAGUGUUGAUGAUCUGUAAAAUGUUUGCCUUGAAUUUCCUUUAGACCCAGCACAGAGCAGUAUCUUAUUCCAAAGCUGUGUUUAAGAAUGGCCAUGAACUUUAUUAGGUGUGAGCCCUUCAGUGAGGAAAGCAAUCGGAUUGUGAGCAAUGCAAUACCUCGUGCAUAGCAAGCAGGCAGCUGGCUCUGAGGAGAGGUUCCUCAUGCAGACCUCAUCAAAAAAUGAAAUGAGAAAAAUAAGUAGACAGGACUAGGCAGGGAAUUCUUCUGCCUUUGUGCCCCAGGGGGAGUAUAUCCAAAUUAAUAGGCCUUUUCCAGUACUAAUGGCUCAGUGAAGAUGUGGGAGUCACAGGCCACAUCAUCAGCUGGUGUAAAUCAGUGUGUACCUGGAGAGAGAGCUGCAACAUUUAUUUACAUUCCUCUUAGCCAGCCCACCAGGAGCACCAGGAAAAGUCACAACCAGAGAUCCCUGGGUCCCACCUGGCUCCCUGUGGGAGGAGUGCCCAUGGACAGGGAUGCUGCUCAAAAGCCACCAGUGUGGUAAAAUCCUGACCAACACCAAAUCAUCCAGCACUGGCACUUCCAUGCUCCACUUACAGGCUCAGCAAUUCCCUGGAGAGGAGCUGAAAGGGGACUGGCAGAGGGAAAAGAAGUGGUAUGAUGGGGUCAGCAGGCUGGAAGGGACUGGGAGAAGGUGCAAAAGGACCCUGAGGUGUGCACAGGGCAGGAAAAGGGGGAUGGGAGAGGGAGAGACAAUGAGAGAGAGCAAGUGAUACAGAGUUUUCCUGUCAGACUCCUCUGUGAGGGCAGAUUUAUCUGCCUCCUUCCUCUGGAAAAUUCAUUAGGCUUUUGUGCCUCCCUCCUCUCCGUGCCAACGUGCUCCAGCUUUGCCCAGGAACAAACCAGUAAUUCAUGUUCAUGCAUUUUCCUCUCCCAACUCCCGUGAAACAACAUGGAAUCCUCCCAGCCCAGCUCUGCUCCUGCUGAUGGGCACCAGCAUCCUGGGAGGAUGCAGAUAUUCCUGCAGGAAUUUGCAGACAAACAGCAGAAAUCCUCUGGUGACCACUCAGCUUGGUGUGAGAGCUGAUCCAUGGACAAGCAGCUGCCCUGGGAAUAAGGGGGAAGAGGCUCCAGGAGCAGGGUGUGUUCUUUACUCAGCUUAAUUUAUCCAUAACUUAGCCAAAGGAAAUUGAAGUGGCCUGUUCCAGCAUUCCUUAAUUUGCCAGUGAACUGGCUAUGGAAGGAGAUAAGAAAUAAGGGCUGAAAUCUUGAAAGAAGCCAUUAGGCAAACACAGGAGCAAAGACCAGCUGAAAUGCGUGUUUGUGCACCGAUAAGAUUCUGAACGUUCCUUUCAGCACCUGACAGCCAGAGGUAUCAACAAGGCAGACAGAUUAAAUUCCUAUAGGCAUUAAUUAAAAGGAUUCUGAUGAGGAGAGAAAUUAAGGCCCAAACACUGAGCAGAAACAACUGUUAUUUUUUCCUCAGAGAAUUUUUAGCUCCAAACAAGUGCUGGGGGGAGGUGAAAAUGGGUUUGUGUGAGAUGCAGAUGGGAGAUGUAGAAACACAUCUCCAAAUGGUAAGGACCACAAGCAAGCUGGAACAAAAACAUUGGGAUGGCUGGUGGUGAUGAAACAGUAAUGAAGAGAGAUAAGAAGCUGACCACCGUGGGCAGAUGGUGGAAGGUGGGAAGGUGGAAAAGGCAGUGAAAUCCCAAAGAUUCCCGUGGUCAGUCUGAGAUUCCCAAGACCAAAAGAGUUGAAUAAAGGAUCACCUGUACCCAGCUUCUGUGGGGAGAGCUGCAGGAAGGGCACAAGCACAAAGGGGCUGCAGCUGAGACAGAGGAAUGGGAACGGGCUGGAUCUCUCACAGCUCUGUGCAUGCAGAGCUGGGGAGAAAGGAAAAAACCUGUCCAAGAAUCCUCAUCUCCUGCCAAAAUUGGCUGUGAGGGGUCUGUGUGAGCUUUGUGCGUGGCUGACCAAGCAGGGCAGGUGUCCCAGUGAUCUGAAGACACCUACAGCUCUCCCUGACUGCGCAUCCAGAGACCUGAGAGGAGGAACAACCUUGUGAACCAGACAGAGGUCAGGGACUGGCAGAGCCUGAGCAGACUCCUGGUUCCACCAGCAAGGGAGGGAGGAUUUGGGUGCCAGGAGCUCUCUGCACCCUGCAUGGAAGCAAACAGGACUUCCCACGCCUGAAAGAUUUGUGGCUGCCAGAUCCAUCAUCCCAGCAGCUGCAGUGGAACAGGAGGGUAGCAAUUUUGCCUCUGCAUCCCUGUGACACCCGUGUGGGUGAGUGCUGUUCCAAGAGAAGCCCCAGCUCCCGUGGAAGUGUGUUGAUCCGCGUUUAGCUGCGCUCCUGCUUCCUCUGGAAGACACAUCCAGCUGAAGCCAGACAGAUUCCACCCACCACAAGGCAGCACAGCUGACGUCUUGUGGCAGUCCCUCGAGGACACGUCUCCAGAAAAAGAAUCACACAGCUGCUCAUCUCAGCUCCCUAAGUCACCACUUCUCUCCUGUUUGGUUUUUUCCCCCCCCUCUUUUUCUCUCAGUUGCUUUAUUUACAUCGUUUUCCUCCCAACAGGUUGACAGAGCAGCGAAUGCUUCGUGGCAGGGAGGGUUGGCUUGGCAAAAUUCUCACUCAGGAAACACUGGAGUGGCUCAGGAACAUGUUUGGAAAAGCCACGACCCUGUUGUAAUGCAGCUGCCACGUGCGAGGGAUUAAACACCAACUUGGAAGUUCAUGGGAGUGAAAUGUCAGCUCAGGGGUUGAUUUCAUUCACCUGACAUUCCUGUUAAUAACAAUGCCUAAUUAGAAAGGCUUUUAAGCAUCCGUUACAUUAAUUUAACGUGAAAAUCUCAUGGAGCUUUAUUGGAAUUUUUUUCUCCUGUAAAAUUAACCCUGCAGGCUUGUUACACAUGUUUUCAUUAGGGACUGUGAGAAGUGGGGAUAUUCAGUGAAUUAGAAUCAGCCCCUUAGUCUUUGAGUUUAACUUUGUAUUUCAAGUUCUUUUAUGCUGAUAAAGCCCUAAUUUGAUCCCCCCCCCACCCCUCCAUUAAUUUAAAACGUGCCACAGCUUCCUCACACUGCAGCUGAAGACUGGAAACCCAAAUUCACUGCUGCCAAUUCCUAUGCAAAGCAGAUAAAAGCCUGGAGUUCAGAGCCUUUGGUAGCAGCUGGUGCUAAUUCUGGUGUGCAGCCCUGCUCUGCUCCAUGGAGCACAUGCCUCUCACAUGGCUGUUUUCCACACAGCUGCCAAGCCGUCUUUAAGGGGGCUGGAAAGCCACCACAGGGUUGCCCCUUUAUUAUUAUUUUUUAUUAUUUUAUUAUUAUUUUAUUAUUUUUAAAUGUUAAAAUUGUAUUAAUUUAUUUUAUUAUUUCUCUUUUUAAGUGUGAGACAUGACAUCCUAGCCAGCACUGAGGCUCCUACCUUUAAGGGCACAACGUGCUGCAGCAGGAGCUGAAAUAUCCCAGAGAUUUUUAUGGGAAUAACAGAGGCUGCUAAAGGAUCACAGGGCUCAUCACAGAGAGGGUCUGGCCAUUCUGAUGGCCCCACCUCACAGUGCUCUGGCCACGCUCUCAAAGUGGCUGCAAUUACAUGUGGCUGGGCCAAAGGUCCGUGGGGCAAGGAGAAUGUGAGUCCCCUUUGAAGGAUUUUCCAUGCCUUUGGAGCCCAACCUUUGGAGAACAACCUGAGCUAUUUCCAGCCCUGGGAUUCAUUAAACUGUGUCCCCAUGUCAAGGUUUGGGCUGCCAUUGAACUUCCCAGCUUGGGAGAGCACUGAGUGAUUUUAAUGAUGGAUCCACUUGGGGAGUGGAGGGAAAGUUGAAGGAACAGGAACAAAUACUUGACUGGCAUAAAUCCAUGGAAUUGCUUGACAUCCAGUGGAAAUCUGACACAAAGCCAAGUCCCUUGUCACACAGAUGUGUUACUGAAAUUGAACCUAAGUGGCAAAAGAUUCACACUGACACAUUAAUAGAGAAGAACAUGCACAGCCCUUGUUCUCCUGCAGCCCACCACAGGAUGGUUUCCCUCAUUAGAUUUUACACUGCUGCAGCUUCCCCAGAUCUACAAUUCCCAGCUGAUUUCACCCCUCUCCAUAGUAAACUACACUGCUGCCUAAUGCACCAGAUGUAAGAAUAUUUUCUGAUAACCACAGAGACUUCUCCUCUUAUUAAGACUUUCCCUUGAGUCACUGCACAUUAAUAUUACCCAUCUGUGGUAUUUAUCCUCUCUCAAUAUGCAGACACUUAUCCUGUCCCUCGUAGUUGUUACUUUGCCAAGCAGUACAUAAUUAGAUGUUUAGAAUCUCUCCUUGUUAAUCAGACCCUUUGAACUGCCUGUAGCUCCAAUAAUGUUGUUGAACUUCCCAAGUUUGUCAGUACCCCUCUCCUGAGGAGGUGUGCAGCACUGAGAGCAGUGUCCCAGCUGUGCUGCAGAGGAAGGGAGCGUGACCCUGUGCCUGCAGUGCCCUCGGUCUGUCUCUGCAGCCACAGCGCAGCUCAACUUUUCCCCUCUCUAAUCCCCAGAUCCCUUCUGAUCAUCUUCUGCCUCGUGAGUCCUCCAAGGCUCUGUUGAAGAUGAUGGAGAUCUUUUCUGCCAGCUCGGUGCCCUGCUCCCUCCCUCCUACCACUCAUCUCACAGAUCAAGUUAUUAACUGGGAGCGCGAUUGGCAGGCGAGGGGGAGAGACGCGGAUAGGGAAUGAAAGGCACGCACAGAAUUUGUAUGCAAGUUUAGCUCCUCUGUUCACUCUGGCAUUGGCAUUGCCUCAGAAACUAGUUCAGUUUGGUCCCUGCUGAGGAUUUGUUUCUGGAAACCUGUCCUGCCUAAUUUCCUAGACUUCCCAAAGCUAUA